GAUGAACGCUAGCGGGAGGCCUAACACAUGCAAGUCGAACGGGAUUGGUAGCAAUACCAUGAGAGUGGCGCACGGGUGAGUAACGCGUAUGCAACCUGCCUUUAACUGAGGGAUAGCCCAUAGAAAUGUGGAUUAAUACCUCAUAGUUCUGAGAAGCUGCAUGGUUUUUCAGAUAAAGCUCCGGCGGUUAAAGAUGGGCAUGCGUGACAUUAGCUAGUUGGUAAGGUAACGGCUUACCAAGGCUACGAUGUCUAGGGGUUCUGAGAGGAUGAUCCCCCACACUGGUACUGAGACACGGCACAGACUCCUGCGGGAGGCAGCAGUGAGGAAUAUUGGUCAAUGGGCGCAAGCCUGAACCAGCCAUCCCGCGUGCAGGAUGACGGCCCUAUGGGUUGUAAACUGCUUUUGUACAGGAAGAAAAAUCCCUACGUGUAGGGACCUGCCGGUACUGUACGAAUAAGCAUCGGCUAACUCCGUGCCAGCCGCCGCAGUAAUAC
rnacentral:rRNA from 1 species